UUAAGCGACUAAGCGUACACGGUGGAUGCCCUGGCAGUCAGAGGCGAUGAAGGACGUGCUAAUCUGCGAUAAGCGUCGGUAAGGUGAUAUGAACCGUUAUAACCGGCGAUUUCCGAAUGGGGAAACCCAGUGUGUUUCGACACACUAUCAUUAACUGAAUCCAUAGGUUAAUGAGGCGAACCGGGGGAACUGAAACAUCUAAGUACCCCGAGGAAAAGAAAUCAACCGAGAUUCCCCCAGUAGCGGCGAGCGAACGGGGAGCAGCCCAGAGCCUGAAUCAGUGUGUGUGUUAGUGGAAGCGUCUGGAAAGGCGCGCGAUACAGGGUGACAGCCCCGUACACAAAAAUGCACAUGCUGUGAGCUCGAUGAGUAGGGCGGGACACGUGGUAUCCUGUCUGAAUAUGGGGGGACCAUCCUCCAAGGCUAAAUACUCCUGACUGACCGAUAGUGAACCAGUACCGUGAGGGAAAGGCGAAAAGAACCCCGGCGAGGGGAGUGAAAAAGAACCUGAAACCGUGUACGUACAAGCAGUGGGAGCACGCUUAGGCGUGUGACUGCGUACCUUUUGUAUAAUGGGUCAGCGACUUAUAUUCUGUAGCAAGGUUAACCGAAUAGGGGAGCCGAAGGGAAACCGAGUCUUAACUGGGCGUUAAGUUGCAGGGUAUAGACCCGAAACCCGGUGAUCUAGCCAUGGGCAGGUUGAAGGUUGGGUAACACUAACUGGAGGACCGAACCGACUAAUGUUGAAAAAUUAGCGGAUGACUUGUGGCUGGGGGUGAAAGGCCAAUCAAACCGGGAGAUAGCUGGUUCUCCCCGAAAGCUAUUUAGGUAGCGCCUCGUGAACUCAUCUCCGGGGGUAGAGCACUGUUUCGGCAAGGGGGUCAUCCCGACUUACCAACCCGAUGCAAACUGCGAAUACCGGAGAAUGUUAUCACGGGAGACACACGGCGGGUGCUAACGUCCGUCGUGAAGAGGGAAACAACCCAGACCGCCAGCUAAGGUCCCAAAGUCAUGGUUAAGUGGGAAACGAUGUGGGAAGGCCCAGACAGCCAGGAUGUUGGCUUAGAAGCAGCCAUCAUUUAAAGAAAGCGUAAUAGCUCACUGGUCGAGUCGGCCUGCGCGGAAGAUGUAACGGGGCUAAACCAUGCACCGAAGCUGCGGCAGCGACGCUUAUGCGUUGUUGGGUAGGGGAGCGUUCUGUAAGCCUGUGAAGGUGUACUGUGAGGUAUGCUGGAGGUAUCAGAAGUGCGAAUGCUGACAUAAGUAACGAUAAAGCGGGUGAAAAGCCCGCUCGCCGGAAGACCAAGGGUUCCUGUCCAACGUUAAUCGGGGCAGGGUGAGUCGACCCCUAAGGCGAGGCCGAAAGGCGUAGUCGAUGGGAAACAGGUUAAUAUUCCUGUACUUGGUGUUACUGCGAAGGGGGGACGGAGAAGGCUAUGUUGGCCGGGCGACGGUUGUCCCGGUUUAAGCGUGUAGGCUGGUUUUCCAGGCAAAUCCGGAAAAUCAAGGCUGAGGCGUGAUGACGAGGCACUACGGUGCUGAAGCAACAAAUGCCCUGCUUCCAGGAAAAGCCUCUAAGCAUCAGGUAACAUCAAAUCGUACCCCAAACCGACACAGGUGGUCAGGUAGAGAAUACCAAGGCGCUUGAGAGAACUCGGGUGAAGGAACUAGGCAAAAUGGUGCCGUAACUUCGGGAGAAGGCACGCUGAUAUGUAGGUGAAGCGACUUGCUCGUGGAGCUGAAAUCAGUCGAAGAUACCAGCUGGCUGCAACUGUUUAUUAAAAACACAGCACUGUGCAAACACGAAAGUGGACGUAUACGGUGUGACGCCUGCCCGGUGCCGGAAGGUUAAUUGAUGGGGUCAGCGCAAGCGAAGCUCUUGAUCGAAGCCCCGGUAAACGGCGGCCGUAACUAUAACGGUCCUAAGGUAGCGAAAUUCCUUGUCGGGUAAGUUCCGACCUGCACGAAUGGCGUAAUGAUGGCCAGGCUGUCUCCACCCGAGACUCAGUGAAAUUGAACUCGCUGUGAAGAUGCAGUGUACCCGCGGCAAGACGGAAAGACCCCGUGAACCUUUACUAUAGCUUGACACUGAACAUUGAGCCUUGAUGUGUAG
rnacentral:rRNA from 1 species